rnacentral:rRNA from 1 species
CGAGUGGCGGACGGGUGAGUAAUGUCUGGGAAACUGCCUGAUGGAGGGGGAUAACUACUGGAAACGGUAGCUAAUACCGCAUAACGUCGCAAGACCAAAGAGGGGGACCUUCGGGCCUCUUGCCAUCGGAUGUGCCCAGAUGGGAUUAGCUAGUAGGUGGGGUAACGGCUCACCUAGGCGACGAUCCCUAGCUGGUCUGAGAGGAUGACCAGCCACACUGGAACUGAGACACGGUCCAGACUCCUACGGGAGGCAGCAGUGGGGAAUAUUGCACAAUGGGCGCAAGCCUGAUGCAGCCAUGCCGCGUGUAUGAAGAAGGCCUUCGGGUUGUAAAGUACUUUCAGCGGGGAGGAAGGGAGUAAAGUUAAUACCUUUACUCAUUGACGUUACCCGCAGAAGAAGCACCGGCUAACUCCGUGCCAGCAGCCGCGGUAAUAC